rnacentral:rRNA from 1 species
UAGGGAGUCUUCGGCAAUGGGGGCAACCCUGACCGAGCAACGCCGCGUGAGUGAAGAAGGUUUUCGGAUCGUAAAGCUCUGUUGUAAGAGAAGAACGUGUGUGAGAGUGGAAAGUUCACACAGUGACGGUAACUUACCAGAAAGGGACGGCUAACUACGUGUCAG